GGCCAGAUCCAGCCCUGCUGCUGGAGGCAUUCCCUCCUGCAGGCAGUGAUUUUGUCUGAGACAGCAGGGUGGGAAGACAGCAGGGUGGGAAGAGCCAACCACUGCACAGAAGCUUUGGAAAGCGUGAUGAGCCAAGCUGGUCAGAUUGUCCAGUCUGGGUGGGAAGGACAUCGCUUUUCCCUCAGGGAUCAGCAGAAGGAUGGGGCCUUUUCCUCCAAGCUCUUUGCUCCUCUAUGCUGAGCUAUGAUUGCGCUUUCUUACUCUGGGAAGUUAUCUGAGAUGCACAGGCAGUUGUCUCCUGCCAAGAAAUAAUGGUAUCAGGACUGCAUGCCAUAAUUUUUCUCUCUCAUCCUUUCCUACACUGAUGGCAGGUUUCAACUUUUUGGGCUCUUUUCCAGUUGUUGUCAGACUUCUUUGGUAUACUAACAGAUUUCUUUGGGUUUUUUCCCCCUGCAGGAAAUGACAGCACUGGAAGCACAGGCAGGAGGGGUGUUCAAUCCUGAUGCAAGCACUGUCCCAGGGGCAUCACCACAUUGCCAAGCCAAGAUGGCUCCAGGCUGGGCAAGAGCUAUAGGGAAUAAAAAUAACAGUGCACUUCCACUGGCUUUUGCAAGCAUGCAGACAAAACAGCUUCCCUCCAAAUUUUCUCCAUUCAGGCAUACUUUGUAUGUGGGUGGCGUGACUGAAGAACCUGUCUGGUCCUGUAGUGCCUGUUUCUCCUCGUCUGGCAGCUGGAGCCCACCUCAGGAUCAGGCAGCACUGCAGGAAACCUAUCACACAAACACCACAGACUGUCUUACAGGUCUCACAAUGGCUCACAGUACAAAGGUGAUUGCAUUCAGACUGGACAAGGCUCACCCUUGAGGUCCUGCUCCAUGAGGUCCUGUCUGGUUUGUGUUUCUCCUCACAACCCCAGCUGUUCAUCUCCAUACCCCUGCCCUUACCCUCCCUGGUAACUUGGGCAGGGAAGGCAGGGGGCCCAUCCUUCAGUGUGUGAGCCUUCCUUAAACCCUUUGGAAAGCUAUACUGAGGAGGGUCCCUAAAACUCCUGGAAAUUAUGGCACUUCCACUUCAGGAAAAUGACAAAAGCUAUCUUCCCCAAAACCAAAGGAAGGUGACAAAGUGGCCUAGACACAAGAGCAGCAAUUCUGUGUGAGUUUUGCUCUCAGCACAGCCAGGAGCUAUGAACCACUUCUUCGUCCCAAAGCUCAGCCAGAGCUGUAAUUCUCUGUCAGUAAACCCUUGCUUACUCCUUCUGUGCUGGUCCAAAAAGACAGGCAUGAGUAGGAAGGACUGAGCCAGCCAUGAAGGGAAUGCCUCAAGAAGAUGCCUGAUGAUGUCAGCCCAACUUCACACUGAAUUAUUCGUGAGCAGUUUGUAUGAAGCUACAGCUGUGGCAGUAAUAAUUCACAGCAGGGUUUAAUCCAGGCUUCUUCAUUGCCAUCGUGUGAAACUGUGUUAAGCUACUUGCAGCUUAAGUCUUUCCUUGUAGACAGCACCAGGGACUAAUUAGUCCUUUUAAAUGUACUAUGUCAGUAAGUGCUGAGCUCCUUACUUAUGACUGACUCAGAUCUGAUUGAUGUGUGAAAGUCUCUUCCAUGACAACAGCAUCAGGCACUAAGGCUGCAUUGACUGCUGCUGGUGAUGGUCCCACUGCAAAAGCCAGUUCAAACUUCAGCAAUUCCCUGCUUUCCCAGUUGCCACUAAGCCUCCAGAUUAGCGAGUCGCAUUUUUGUUUCUGCUCCUAGUAACAACACCAAGCCUGUGUGAAUAAAGCUGUUUUGCAGUCCAGGAGCAGCACAGGAGCCAUAGUCACAAGGGGGCAGUGGCAAGAAAGACUUAAAAAAACGUCAGCCUGGGAAUCCCCAUCUCUGGCAGUGACCUGUUGUGUGUUCUUGGACAUACAUAUUUCUACUUCUCUUGACAUAGUUUCUCUCAAGUUCAUGCUGUGUCUCUUUUGGUCUCAAACUCUUUUGGGCAAGAACUGUAAAGCUUUUAAUGCAACAUGAUCUUGACCAAAUUCUCCAAGCACAAUAAGUAAAUAUAUUCAAUUCGUAGGACUGUAUAAGCAUCAAUCAUUUUUUCCAUCUUUUACAGAAGAAUGGUCAUCACAGAAGGGUUACACUGCCCACUUUGAGGUAGGCUGUAUUUCAGGAUGCUAUCAUUAUACCUAAUUGAUCAUUCAGCACAAAAAAAAAAAAAAAAAAAAAAAAGGAAAAAAAAAGGCUGCUCUUAUAAGCUAACCCACUCUCUCUAUCAUAUUUGCAAACCCUGUUUGCUGCAUUGUCAAAAGCUAUAUUUAAUUUUUAUCUUUCUAUGAUACAACCUACCAACAUCCAUUACAGAGCAGGACUCCUGUGCUGUUACAUGAGCACAGAAAAAAAAAAAAAAACAGUCUUUGCCCCAGAGAGAGAUAUAAAUGCUUAUAAAAACAGUGAUAAUUCAUUCUUCUAACACUUGUGAAGUAAGCAGAAUGAUUAUCAACCUCAUUUUACAGAUGGGGAAGUAUGUCACAGAAAGGUUAAGUGAUUUAUCUAAUAACAUGAAGCAUGUCAGUGACAAGAAAAAACUGGAACUCUUGAUCCCAGACAGAGUUCUCUAGUCUAUAAAGCAGAUCUUUAGCAGUAAAACCAGAAAUCAGGACCAGAACUACUGACACAACUGUUUUUAAAAUGCUCAGCUAUUUUUGAGACAGAAAGCUAUGAAAAAAGAAUUUUCCAACAUUACUUUAAUCUUUUGUUAAUAAUUAAAGUCCCUGAGCUGAGAAAUCUUAAUUUCCUAAAACUGUUCCUCAACAAAACCAUAUCCCCUCACUGUGUUCCUUCUUUUUUAUUACUCAAUUUUCCUUAUUUCAAAACCUCACCUUUAAGUAUUUACCUAAAGUAGCAAAUGUUAAACCAGAUUCUUGUUUCUCAUUUUUCAUGGAUAGACCCAAGCAGCCACUUGUGCUCUAAGAAGUGUUUCUGAAAUGUGUCCCACAUGGGUCGAGCACAGUCAGCCCCCAGGGCAAGUCUGAUUCCCUGCCUGUGCCUUACGCGUUUUCCUGCAAGGAGAGAGGAGACCCUUUCUCACUGCUGCCACAGGUAGCCUGGGAGAGGGACAAGCUGGUGCUGAGCUCUACACCACCACUCCUUUGAUGAGAUACCUUGAGGGUCCUGUGUGAGGUGCAGGACCUCUGGGCAGUGGGCUCCAGAGCAGCAUUCCCACACCUGAACAUGGUUCAGGCACCAUGUUCUCUCCUGCUCAGCGCUGAGCUGUGCUGCAGCCCCUGUCCCUGCAAACAGGCUCUGCAUCCUUAGUCUCAGGUGUGCCACCACCACCUGGAAGGGUUAUUUAUGCCUCCUUUUUCUUUGUAGUUGGCUGUCAUCCUAAAUUCAGCUGGUAGCAAAGCCACAAACACUCUCCUCCAGCUUCAGGCCAUGAAGAAAUGUUUGUCUGUUUUCUGAAACAUGAUUAAUAUUUAACUUGCCCAAAGUAAGAUUCCAGUCUAGCUGGCAGAUGUGAAACCUCAGGUGUGUCUGUUGCAUGUCCAGCUGUCGGGCAGAAUGAGGGCAGGCAGUAGCCCUGAGGUGCCAGCCUGCCUGUCCUGCCUGCUCACAGCUCCCAUUCCAGCUGGAGAAGUUUCCCUGGGAAAUGAAGUUCAAAAAAGUCUCCUCUGCCACGUCCCCUAAAGGGCGUAGUAGUUUAUUCCCUCUUUACCUUUUCACCUCUGCUUGACCUGUUUGUAAUGUGGAGUUUAUGAUGUAAUUAUAUCUCACGCAGCUGAAAUUGUCCUUUGAUCACCAGACUGAUUACACUUAACAAGGCAUAAACUCCCUCUCUCCUUCUCUGCCAGGAGUCCAAUUUUAAGCUCUAAUUGUUUUAUAGGCCUUUUGCACUUCAGAGAAAGAAAAAAAAAAGAAGAAAAAAA
ensembl:lncRNA